ensembl:lncRNA
AAUGAGUCCUUGCAAAAUCUGGAGGAGAGGGGUUGUGAUGGAAGAGAAAGGGAAGGAAAGGCUCUGCUGCUUUUCUUCUGCUGCUUUGAGCAUCGUUACCGUGUGUGUCCAGUCUGAGCAGAAGCAGCAGGAAAGGAAAAGAAGAGGGGCAGAGGAAGAGGAAAAACCCAACCUCGUUCAGCAUGUUCUGCAAAUGCAGCUUCUUCUUCCGCAUGAGCAAACAGACCACGAUGGACUCCUGGGUGAUGGGUAGAGAAGUUCAGAAAGCUUCCAGGGAGCACCUAAUCCACGAGUCGGGACUGCUGAUGUUUGCUUCAGCCUGGUAUCCCAUGGUAGAGGCAUAAGGAUUAAGCAGGCUUUGGAAGGGGAGCUUGUCUUCAUAUCGGGAUGGGCAUUUCUUUGGACACACGGUCUUUGGGGUGAGAAGCCAUCAGCAGUCAGUCCUUGUUCCCAGAGAAAAGGAUAGAGAACCCAUUGGGAUGACCAGUGAUGUCAUCCCAGUUGACUUAAAUUGCAUGGACUUAAAUUGAAAUGAGUGGCAUUGGGGUUAGUCAGCAGAAGAAUGUUUCUUAGGGCGUGAUCAAGAAAAUGAAGCUCCAAUACCAGCUGGGUGAAGAAGCCACUGGAGCAACAUUACUGGAAGCUGACAUCCACUUGUUGGGAAGGCUCUAAGUGGGGGCUGGAGAAGCUCUCAGCAGUGCCUAUGGUCUUCUUCACUGCUUCAUAAAGCAGUGCUGGAGAAGAAAACCAAUUUCAGAUACAUGAAUCUCGAGAUCCUCCACCCAGGCCCUGUGAAUUUGUUGCCUUCAACCAUUGUACGCAGGCUGCUGUAGCUGGCACAGUUCCCCAGAUGCAGUUCAGGUUGUGGUCACCUACUACAGAGUGGCAGAAUAGGGACCAAGAACGUGGCCAGGAAACUUCAGGACUUCAGAUGUGGCUUUUGAGCUCUGUGACUUUCUUUAGUUCCCAGCUGGAUCUAUUCUUGUGGCUCCCAUUCUCUGCACACUGAUUGCCUGCUCUGGCUGUUGCAAGGCAGAAAGGCAAUAUAUCUGCCUAUAACAGCUGAAUUGGCCUGAGCUUUACAGAGCUAAUCAGCCAUGAAAAUGCCCCUCCUUGCUAUCCUGGAAGAAUUGACUUUAAUGAUGAGAGACAUUCUCUUUCCAGCCUGGUCAAAAGGGUAGGAGGCCUUCUGGGGAGAUUGCAGCUUGUCCUUGAGAGCAUCCCUUGCAGUCUGAGGCCUUGCUCAGAGCUUUCUUUUAACCCUCUCCUACCCUGCAGUCAGGAAUUGCCAGAGCUGAACUGCUGCACUCACACAAGACCUGUGCACUUGCUUUAUAAUUCUUUCUCUCAGAGAUCUUCUUUCAGCACUGAACUGCUGGUGACUCCAUCCUCUUCCUCAUCUUCUGCACCCACAUCGCUCCUGGCACCUUUGGCCAUCAGGAUUGGGUGCAGCAGAUGAUCUUAGCGGUCUUUUCCAACCUUGAUGAUUCUAUGAUUCCAUGAUUUUACUUGUGUUUGGACAAAGAAAACUGGUGGGAAUGCUGCAG